GAAAGAAAUCCAGCACCCACAGCGGCCCGAUGUGGAAUAGUUUGGGAACCCCUGUCUUAGAGCAUGUCAGAAGCUCACUGAGGGUCAGACGAAGUCUCCUGAGAGGAUCACUGUGUUCAAACUCCAAGCUGCUGCUCCUUCCUGGCAUCCUGUUCCAAAGCGUGGAAAUCAACAGACAAGAGUGCUACGAUGGAGUUGACAGCUUCCACUCCUGAGAGCAGCCGGAGGAUGAGCUUCUUGUCCUCUGCCCAAGCCUGGCUUUGGUCAGCCGGGGCACACAAAGCCAUCCUCACCAAGCAGGGAAGAAGUAACCUCAACUCAGGGUCACUUAAGGCUGCCAGGCGCUGCACGUCCACCUUUUGCAUUGCCUCGAAUGCAUAUGGACUGACAAACUGCAGCCCUGCGCUGUCUGCCAUCUCUGAAAGUACAUCAUUAUUUUAUUUUUUUCAAUGUAUUAAGUGAAUUGGAUUUUUACUAAUAAUUUUUGUCAACCACGUGAAGUGUCAAAAGUACCUCGAGUAAGUCUCAUAAAGUCAGUGAAAUUUCUUACAAAUAAAUCAGAUUUAUUCAUUAGGAUUCUGAACAUUACGUGUAUGCGUCGGCUCUUAAUGCUAAGGCGUUAAUGUUUGAUAACGUUAUGUAUUUUGAUUUCUCAAUCAAUAACAAUGACAGCUCGGCUAGCGCUAAUUCGUACGCGAAGGGUGUUCAAAAACAUUUAUAUUGUGGAUCAGGAUAAAAUCCACUCUAGUAUAGCAACCUUACAUGUUCAACAUAGGUUUAAUUCAAGUUGUAGAGCUUUAUGGCACAUAAUCACGAUUCCCGUCACUUUUGGUGUAGCUUUAGCGUGCUAAGAGUUAGCCAGCUAAGGCGACCGCUUCAUAUAAAGACCAAGACAACAAACAUCGUGUUUGCUAAGCGCAGUAACAAUCGCGUAAUUAAGACGCUAUAAAAUGCACCGGUAACAGUCUUACCUCAAUUAUUGCGGUACGGUUGUCCAAACAUUCGGAUCAGAGGCCUCCAGACCUCGGAAUUGACUGAGCACCACAGCCGCCAAAAGGGCGCGCUACACCGGCCAAUGUCUUACAAUGGUACCCUUCCUUAGCGGUCAUCCACAGUUUUCUUGAAAUGUUUUAUAGAUUAGCAUUUUCUAUGCACCAAGUACCAAAAUGUUGCCAUCUCAACUCGGAGGGACUUUAACUACACCUAAAGCGAUGAAAAUAAGUAAACCAUU